GACAGAGGGUGCAAACGUUGCUCGGAAUCACUGGGCGUAAAGGGCGUGUAGGCGGGACGGUAAGUCGGGCGUGAAAUCCCUAGGCUCAACCUAGGAACUGCACUCGAAACUACCAUUCUUGAGUGUCGGAGAGGAAAGCGGAAUUCCUGGUGUAGCGGUGAAAUGCGUAGAUAUCAGGAGGAACACCUGCGGUGUAGACGGCUUUCUGGACCAUUGUUGACGCUGAGACACGAAAGCGUGGGUAGCAAACAGG
rnacentral:rRNA from 1 species